GACGAACGCUGGCGGCGUGCUUAACACAUGCAAGUCGAACGGUCCGACAGUGAGCUUGGAGAUAGUUUACUAUUGAAGAGCACAUUGAAGGAUAGUGGCGGAUGGGUGAGUAACACGUGGAUAAUCUGCCUGUAACACCGGGAUAACACUGUGAAAACGGUGCUAAUACCGGAUACCUUCUCGAAGACACAAGUCCUUGAGAAGAAAGCUCCGGCGGUUACAGAUGAGUCCGCGGCUGAUUAGCUAGUUGGUGAGGUAACGGCUCACCAAGGCGAUGAUCAGUAGCCGGUCUGAGAGGAUGGGCGGCCACACUGGGACUGAGACACGGCCCAGACUCCUACGGGAGGCAGCAGUGGGGAAUUUUCCGCAAUGGGCGCAAGCCUGACGGAGCGACGCCGCGUGAGUGAAGAAGGUCUUCGGGUUGUAAAGCUCUGUCCUAUGGGAAGAAGGAAGUGACGGUACCAUANGAGGAAGCCACGGCUAACUACGUGCCAGCAGCCGCGGUAAUACGUAGGUGG
rnacentral:rRNA from 1 species